AUUGAACGCUGGCGGCAGGCCUAACACAUGCAAGUCGAGCGGAUGAAGGGAGCUUGCUCCUGGAUUCAGCGGCGGACGGGUGAGUAAUGCCUAGGAAUCUGCCUGGUAGUGGGGGAUAACGUCCGGAAACGGGCGCUAAUACCGCAUACGUCCUGAGGGAGAAAGUGGGGGAUCUUCGGACCUCACGCUAUGAGAUGAGCCUAGGUCGGAUUAGCUAGUUGGUGGGGUAAAGGCCUACCAAGGCGACGAUCCGUAACUGGUCUGAGAGGAUGAUCAGUCACACUGGAACUGAGACACGGUCCAGACUCCUACGGGAGGCAGCAGUGGGGAAUAUUGGACAAUGGGCGAAAGCCUGAUCCAGCCAUGCCGCGUGUGUGAAGAAGGUCUUCGGAUUGUAAAGCACUUUAAGUUGGGAGGAAGGGCAGUAAGUUAAUACCUUGCUGUUUUGACGUUACCAACAGAAUAAGCACCGGCUAACUUCGUG
rnacentral:rRNA from 1 species